ACCGGCGCACGGGUGCGUAACGCGUAUGCAACCUACCUUGUACAGGGGGAUAGCCCGGAGAAAUUCGGAUUAAUACCCCGUGGUAUUAUGAUACGGCAUCGUAUAAUGAUUAAAGAUUUAUCGGUACAAGAUGGGCAUGCGUGACAUUAGCUAGUUGGUACGGUAAUGGCGUACCAAGGCGAUGAUGUCUAGGGGUUCUGAGAGGAUGAUCCCCCACACUGGUACUGAGAUACGGACCAGACUCCUACGGGAGGCAGCAGUAGGGAAUAUUGGUCAAUGGGCGGAAGCCUGAACCAGCCAUGCCGCGUGCAGGAAGACGGCCUUCUGGGUUGUAAACUGCUUUUACCAGGGAACAAAUAGGCCAUGCGUGGCAAGUUGAGUGUACCUGGGGAAUAAGCACCGGCUAACUCCGUGCCAGCAGCCGCGGUAAUACGGAGGGUGCAAGCGU
rnacentral:rRNA from 1 species